AUUGAACGCUGGCGGCAGGCCUAACACAUGCAAGUCGAACGGUAGCACAGAGAGCUUGCUCUCGGGUGACGAGUGGCGGACGGGUGAGUAACGUCUGGGAAACUGCCCGAUGGAGGGGGAUAACUACUGGAAACGGUAGCUAAUACCGCAUAACGUCGCAAGACCAAAGUGGGGGACCUUCGGGCCUCACACCAUCGGAUGUGCCCAGAUGGGAUUAGCUAGUAGGUGGGGUAAUGGCUCACCUAGGCGACGAUCCCUAGCUGGUCUGAGAGGAUGACCAGCCAACCUGGAACUGAGACACGGUCCAGACUCCUACGGGAGGCAGCAGUGGGGAAUAUUGUACAAUGGGCGCAAGCCUGAUGCAGCCAUGCCGCGUGUAUGAAGAAGGCCUUCGGGCUGUAAAGUACUUUCAGCGGGGAGGAAGGCGGUGCGGUUAAUAACCGCGCCGAUUGACGUUACCCGCAGAAGAAGCACCAGCUAACUCCGUGCCAGCCGCCGCCGUAA
rnacentral:rRNA from 1 species